UACGUAGGGUGCAAGCGUUGUCCGGAAUUAUUGGGCGUAAAGAGCUCGUAGGCGGUCUGUCACGUCGGCUGUGAAAUCCCGAGGCUCAACCUCGGGUCUGCAGUCGAUACGGGCAAACUAGGAGUAUUGCAGGGGAGACUGGAAUUCCUGGUGUAGCGGUGAAAUGCGCAGAUAUCAGGAGGAACACCGGUGGCGAAGGCGGGUCUCUGGGCAAUAACUGACGCUGAGGAGCGAAAGCGUGGGGAGCGAACAGG
rnacentral:rRNA from 1 species